AGAGAGGAUAGAACAGUGAUGUUUAUGCUGCUAUAUUUUUGCUAUGUAGGCACUAGCAGAUCUCAAUUUUUCUCUAGAAUCUGUGGAAGAUUUUUUUCCCCAGAAAAUGGUAGUGGAGCAUAAAUUUUUUUGAAAGCAUAGGAUGCAGCAUAUCAAGUAGAUGAUAUGAUUGAAUCCCAUGUUUCGAAUCAGAUUCAAACAAAAUUGGAAAUUUUCUUCAAGCGAUUGAUUUAUGCUCUUCAAAAUCUGAUUUCUGCUAGCAGGAUUCGUCUUUUAGGUAUGAAUAUAAGCAGAAACUGAUUCGAUUACAGAGACGAUGAGGACAGGUGUUGGUUAAAAGGUUUUGCUAAGGGAUUCUUUGCCUGGUUUUUCAAGCCUUUUAUGAGAAAAAUAUAGUGGUGUUUGAUGAUGAGUUGAUUCAAGUAAUGGGUUGGGUUUUUGGCUGCAAUCGGAACUCCAAAUCAUCCUAGUUUUUGGGAUGGAAAGCAUGGUAAGACUAAUCUUGCUGUAAAUCGGAUCAAAUUACAACCAUGAGAUGCUGAAACAGCAAAUUAAUGCCUUCCGAAGCCGGAAUGGGAUUCAGUAAAUUAGAAUUCCUUCAUAUUGAAUGGGCAGAUCUAGUGCAUAGAGUCAGAUAAACAUCCAUUUUCUGAGCCUUCAGUGCCUGAUUCUUAGCUGCUGCUUCACAACGGUAAAGAUCUUUUGGGGUACUUGCUACCAGUUGGGUGCUCAUUAAAAAGAUAACCUCAAAUGUGGCUGCCCUUCUUUCUUGGGAAGAUGUGAUGAAAAUUCUGCUGAAAUGGUACGACUGUGGAAUGGCUUCUGCAGUUACGCUUUGCCUUCAAAGGAUGAUAAUUUGGAAGAUUUUGCAGGCCAAACUCAAUCUCAAAUUUUCUCCUUAUACUAUCUUGGCUGCAGACAGACCAUUGUUUUCCACACUGUCCAUCACUGCUGCAAAUGAAUUCUUCAAUAGUCUCUGGCUGUUUUUCAUCAGGAAGAGCUAUAGGGCUAGAAGAGUUUCUUUCACUUGAUAAUCCUAAGAUAUAAUCCAAGAACGAGUACUGCAGUGAAGAACUACACAAGGAUCAUUAUGAAGAUUUCUAGCAAGAAUAGUCUUACCAAUGCCUCCCAUCCCAAUAACUGGGAUGAUUUGGAGUUUCAAUUGUUGCCAAUGAGCCAACCAUGAUUUGGAUCAAGUCAUCAUCAAAUCCCACCAUAGAUAUCCUUUCCUCAAUAUUUAAGUCUUGAUGAACCCAAAGCAAGUAAUUCGUUAGUAGUAGAUCCUUUAACCCACACCUGUCCUGUGACCCAAUCAAUUUCGUAUUUCACUUUCUUUCUCCAAGUCUUCACAUUUGUGCCCUAAAACAUGAUUCCUGGUUGCCCGAAUUAGCUUUUGGACUGCCGGCAUAAAUUAAUCGCUUGAAGGAAAUUCCGAUUCCAAAUGAAUUUGACUUGAAUUAUGGUAUUCAAUUAUAUCUUCUGCUUGAGAUGCUGCAUCUUUGAUCUGGCUUUCCAAACAUUUUCAUGUUUCUCUGCAAUUUUCAAUAAAAUAAUUUUCUCCAAAUUUUAGCAAAAAAUGGUUUUUCUAUUUAAGCAUCUAAUAUGUUGAUUCUUGCAAAGAAUUCAAUGCUCUGACCAACUCGGGUUUGAUCGAAGUUUAUAAGCACUUUUAAGUGCCCUCAGUGUGAGCUGGUUUCGAAGUUGACUCGGAAAGGGCUAUUUUCAUUAGAAGAUGCCCAAGCAGAAAAAUGGGGCUUUGAUGUAUUUGUGAAAGCGAUGGAUUGUAAAUGUAACUUGGGAAUCUCUUAUUGCUCUCAACUUUUGUAAAGAAUUUAAGUACUCGAUGUCUACAUAUUGCUAUUGCUAGUAACAUAAUAUUGUUCAGUUCA